ensembl:snoRNA SNORD27 Small nucleolar RNA SNORD27
ACUCCGUGAUGAACAUAAACGACAAGCAUAUGGCUGAGUCUUGAGUGAUGUCAUCUUAAUACUGAGAAGU